UCGAGGAUCUUCGGCAAUGGACGCAAGUCUGACCGAGCGACGCCGCGUGCGGGAUGAAGGCCUUCGGGUUGUAAACCGCUGUCAGUUGGGAGGAAAUCACAUGGGGUUCUCUCCAUGUGUUGACCUAUCUUCAGAGGAAGGACGGGCUAAGUUCGUGCCAGCAGCCGCGGUAAGACGAACCGUCCAAACGUUAUUCGGAAUUACUGGGCUUAAAGGGUGCGUAGGCGGCCCUGUAAGUUGGGUGUGAAAUCCCUCGGCGCAACCGAGGAAGUGCGCCGAAUACUGGAGGGCUAGAGGAAGGUAGAGGGGAGCGGAACUUGUGGUGGAGCGGUGAAAUGCGUUGAUAUCACAAGGAACACCUGUGGCGAAAGCGGCUCACUGGGUCUUUUCUGACGCUGAGGCACGAAAGCUGGGGGAGCGAACG
rnacentral:rRNA from 1 species